rnacentral:rRNA from 1 species
UUGCGCCUACGGGGCGCAGCAGUGGGGAAUAUUGGACAAUGGGGGGAACCCUGAUCCAGCGACGCCGCGUGAGCGAAGAAGUAUUUCGGUAUGUAAAGCUCUAUCAGCAGGGAAGAAAGAGAUGACGGUACCUGACUAAGAAGCCCCGGCUAACUACGUGCCAGCAGCCGCGGUAAUACGUAGGGGGCAAGCGUUAUCCGGAUUUACCGGGUGUAAAGGGAGCGUAGACGGCGAUGCAAGUCUGAAGUGAAAGGCGGGGGCCCAACCCCCGGAC